rnacentral:rRNA from 1 species
GACGGAGGAUGCAAGUGUUAUCCGGAAUUACUGGGCGUAAAGCGCACGUAGGUGGUUUGUUAAGUCAGCUGUGAAAUCCCCGGGCUCAACCUGGGCACUGCAGUUGAAACUGGCAAGCUAGAGUAGGGUAGAGGGGUGUGGAAUUCCAGGUGUAGCGGUGAAAUGCGUAGAUAUCUGGAGGAACAUCAGUGGCGAAGGCGACACCCUGGACUCAUACUGACACUGAGGUGCGAAAGCGUGGGGAGCAAACAGG